rnacentral:rRNA from 1 species
UAACACGUGAGCAACCUGCCUUUCAGAGGGGGAUAACAGUUGGAAACGACUGCUAAUACCGCAUAACGCUGCGAUGGGGCAUCCCGAUGCAGCCAAGGGAGCAAUCCGCUGGAAGAUGGGCUCGCGGCCGAUUAGCUAGUUGGUGGGGCAACGGCCCACCAAGGCGACGAUCGGUAGCCGGACUGAGAGGUUGAUCGGCCACAUUGGGACUGAGACACGGCCCAGACUCCUACGGGAGGCAGCAG